UCAAAAUUGAUGACGGUUAAAGAAUGUGCUUUUAAUCUUCAGGAAGAUCAUGCUCGCACCAUUAUCAAGGGAGAGAGAUUCAACAAAUGUAGUCAAAUGGUGUGUUCAUCCAAGCCUUGUCCCAUGACGAUUGACGCCUGUAAUGGAUGAAAUCAUUUUAUCCACACAAGGCAGGGAGGUGAUCUUCUGUCAUAUCAACAGAGAAA
rnacentral:lncRNA from 1 species